rnacentral:rRNA from 1 species
ACUUGAGACGAAGAAAAGAGAAGUGCGUAGGUUGAGGAGAGAGUGGCAGAGAAUGGAUGAGGUAAGAAUGCAUGAUAAGCGUCGAGAAUAUAGAAUGUGUCUGAGGGAGUAUAGGGGUAUGAUGGCUGAAAGGAAAAGGAAUGAUUGGAGAAUGUAUGUGAAUGAACAGGGCAAUAAGGAUCCAUGGGGUAGUGUGUGCAAAAUUAUAAGGGGAAAACGGGUUAAUAGAGGAUUGGCAAGCCUAAGGGUGGGAGAUGUGGUCACGCGUAAUGGGAGUGAGAGUGCCGACUUGCUACUGGGAAAGUUCUUUCCUGGUGACAAUGAUAAUGAGGAGUGGAGGAUGAAUGUUGUAUUAAGAGAAAAUGAGAAUGAUUGGGUAGAGAUGCGUGAGGAUGAAAUAAAUGGUGCUGUUAGGAGGAUGAAAAGAAAAUAAGCUUCAGGUCUGGAUGGAAUUAUCAAUGAGGUGAUAGAGAUUGCGUGAAACCCUGAUGGAGAUCCGUAGCGAUUCUGACGUGCAAAUCGAUCGUCGGAACUGAGUAUAGGGGCUAAAGACUAAUCGAACCAUCUAGUCACUGGUUUCCUCCGAAAUUUCCCUCAGGAUAGCUGGCACUCGCUUGAGCGAGUCUCAUCUGGUAAAGCGAAUGAUUAGAGGCCUUGGGGCCGAAACGACCUCAACCUAUUCUCAAACUUUAAAUGGGUGAGAUCUCUGGCUUGCUUGAAUUGUGAAGCCAGAGAUUCAUUCAUGAACGGAUCAGAGUGCCAAGUGGGCCAAUUUUGGUAAGCAGAACUGGCGCUGUGGGAUGAACCAAACGCCGAGUCAAGGCGCCAAAGUCGACGCUUAUGGGAUACCAUGAAAGGCGUUGGUUGCUUAAGACAGCAGGACGGUGGCCAUGGAAGUCGGAAUCCGCUAAGGAGUGUGUAACAACUCACCUGCCGAAGCAACUAGCCCUGAAAAUGGAUGGCGCUGAAGCGUCGCGCCUAUACUCGGCCGUCAGCGGCAAGUGGGGCUCGAUUCGUUCUGCGGAUCGGGUCAUGAAGCCCUGACGAGUAGGAGGGUCGCGGCGGUGUGCGCAGAAGGGUCUGGGCGUGAGCCUGCCUGGAGCCGCCGUCGGUGCAGAUCUUGGUGGUAGUAGCAAAUACUCCAGCGAGGCCCUGGAGGACUGACGUGGAGAAGGGUUUCGUCUGAACAGCCGUUGCACACGAGUCAGUCGAUCCUAAGCCCUAGGAGAAAUCCUAUGUCGAUGACGGUGUAUGUAUUCAUUGCUUUUUUGUAUGGUAACAUAAUCGCACACCCGUCGGGCGAAAGGGAAUCCGGUUCCUAUUCCGGAACCUGGCAGCGGUACCGUCUUAAAUUCGGGCCCUCUUAAGAGUGUUCGUCGGGGUAACCCAAAGUGACCUGGAGACGUCGUCGGAAGAUGCGGAGAGAGUUUUCUUUUCUGUAUAAGCGUUCGAGUUCCCUGGAAACCUCUAGCAGGGAGAUAGGGUUUGGAACGCGAAGAGCACCGCAGUUGCGGCGGUGUCCGGAUCGUCCCCUCGAACCUUGAAAAUCCAGGAGAGGGCCACGUGGAACAGUCGCGCCGGUUCGUACCCAUAUCCGCAGCAGGUCUCCAAGGUAAACAGCCUCUAGUCGAUAAAAUAAUGUAGGUAAGGGAAGUCGGCAAAUUGGAUCCGUAACUUCGGAAUAAGGAUUGGCUCUGAGGGGCGGGGCAUGUCGGGCUUGAUCGGGAAGCGGGUCUGGCUGAGGUGGCGGGCCUGGGCGAGUCGCGAGUAGUCGUCGCGCGGGGUAGUGUGCGCGUUCACGCGCGUACGCCCUCGUGCGCUCGGUUGCGCCGCGUGGAGCUCGGUCCGUUGCCCCGGCCUCCCGCGGAUCUUUCUUGCUGCGAGGCUUUCGGGGUGGUUACGCCGCUCCGAUCGUCCUCUUCGGCCGCUAUUUAACGAUCAGCUCAGAACUGGUACGGACUAGGGGAAUCCGACUGUCUUAUUAAAACAAAGCAUUGCGAUGGCCCUCGCGGGUGAUGACGAAAUGUGAUUUCUGCCCAGAGGCUAACGUGGCGGCCGGAGUGCGCAUCUUGGAGUCUCAUCAACUAAGUAUGCCCAGGAGGACACUCGAUUCGAUCAAGGGCAUAAGAAAGAAGCCUUAAUACAAUGCCAGAGUAGCCUUCUACAGAAACGAGGCCCGAGCAGCAUGUUAGAGGGUCCAGGAAUCGAUGGAAGACACCGAGCGUCGGGCAGAUGAAGUGGCUCAGCAGAUUAGGCACCAUCUGGCUGAGGUGAUAGCGGCGCUUGAACACCGGAGCAACAAUCAUUAUUCCUUUUUUGCAGCGGUCGAAGCAAAUGUUAACCACCAGGGAGACCCCGCACAGAACUUACAACAAGGGCUUACGAGUGUGGCCGAUAGUGCUGGAGUAAGACAGCGGAGGCCUGGAGUCGCCCGUCAUGGUCGUGUCGCUGCUAGCGCAGGUGCAAUUAGUGACCGCCAACAGGAGCGA